AACCAAUGCUGCAACUAAUCCUAAAAUUUGUCCCAGCCAGUAGUAAUCCGUACCAGAACAACCGUUUCUGCUCUUCCAAAAAUUUUCACUAGCAAUGGUAUGCCAGUACGCAUUAUGCUUUUAACUUCGCCUAGAAUGAACGGUUCGCCGCUCCCACGGGUAAGCUUAUAAACUCCGCUUCAUUACUGAAGCCAUUGUUUGGUUUGAAUCAAAAAAUUAUUUACGGUAUAAAAAAUAUUUUUUAGCUUGUUUGGUUCAGCCUGAAAAUAUUUUUUUGUAAACAUAAUUUUAUGGAAUUGAAAAAAAAAAUUGAAUUUUUUGCUUUUACUAUUUUUCGACAGAAAAUAAAAAUUUAAACUACGUAACAAAAAAAUUUCAUUUCUUUUUCACCAAACCAAAUAAAUGUAAAUUUUUCUUUCCAACCAAAUAAAUAUGGAUGAUUUUUUUUUCUACAAAUAAAAGAGUACAAAAUGUAAACUUUUUUCAUCCAAAAUAUUUUUAUAAAAAAUUAUUUUUAUAAUUUUACGUUGAACCAAAUUUACCCUAAAUCAAAACUAGAUUAGUAGAAUAAAUAAGAGUUGUGCUAAAAUACUAUUAAUAGUAUUUGCUCCCUUUUGCUAACAAGUUUUUAAUAUUUGGAUCAAUUUUUUUUAAUUAUUUCUAACUAUUGGAUUAAAUAUUAUAACCCAAUAGCGACCACUCAAUCUUAGAAGGACCAUUCAACUUUAAGAGAGUAAUAUCAUCUUAAUUCUAUAAUUUUUUCUCUAAAAAUUAAAAACUUAAUAGUAAAAAAGAUCAAAUAUCAUAAUAAUAUAUUCUAAGGCAUAGUUUGGUAUUGAAGUCUAUCUUACGCUAUUAGAUAAAAUGGAGUUGAGGAAAAAGCAUAUAGGGAUAUGCUUCUGUGUUCCCCGAUGGGACCGCAGAAAAUAUAUUGUAACCGAUUCAUCGCAAUAUGCAAAAUGCAAUAUUUACGCAAAUAAACAGAAUAUUUUUCUAACAUGUAUUUUUACCGCACAUAACGUAAUUUCUCCGCAAUCUCAAACGAAGUCUAACUCAACUCUUCUAAAUAAUUAAGAGUAAUGUCAUCCUAGGUAAAUAUAAUAAGUGCGUGUUCGUAUCCCUCCCUCUAAUAUCAUCUUAAUUCUAUAAUUUUUUCUCUAAAAAUUAAAAACUUAAUAGUAAAAAAGAUCAAAUAUCAUAAUAAUAUUCUAACUCUAACUCUUCUUAAUAAUUA
rnacentral:lncRNA from 1 species